rnacentral:rRNA from 1 species
UGGGGAAUAUUGGGCAAUGGGCGAAAGCCUGACCCAGCAACGCCGCGUGAAGGAAGAAGGCCUUCGGGUUGUAAACUUUUGUCCUAUGGGACGAAACAAAUGACGGUACCAUAGGAGGAAGCCCCGGCUAACUACGUGCCAGCAGCCGCGGUAAUACGUAGGGGGCAAGCGUUGUCCGGAAUUACUGGGCGUAAAGGGUGCGUAGGCGGCAAGGCAAGUCAGAUGUGAAAGACCGGGGCUCAACCCCGGGGUUGCAUUUGAAACUACUUUGCUUGAGUGCAGGAGAGGCAAGUGGAAUUCCUAGUGUAGCGGUGAAAUGCGUAGAUAUUAGGAGGAACACCAGUGGCGAAGGCGACUUGCUGGACUGUAACUGACGCUGAGGCACGAAAGCGUGGGGAGCAAACA